GUGCUCGCUUCGGCAGCACAUAUACUAAAAUUGGAACGCUACAGAGAAGAUUAGCAUGGCCCCUGCCCAAGGAUGACACACAAAUUCAUGAAGCGCUCCAUAUACAU
rnacentral:snRNA from 1 species